rnacentral:rRNA from 1 species
UGGGGAAUAUUGCGCAAUGGGCGGAAGCCUGACGCAGCGACGCCGCGUGGGGGAUGACGGCCUUCGGGUUGUAAACCUCUUUCAGCAGGGACGAAGCGAGAGUGAUGGUACCUGCAGAAGAAGCACCGGCCAACUACGUGCCAGCAGCCGCGGUAAUACGUAGGGUGCAAGCGUUGUCCGGAAUUAUUGGGCGUAAAGAGCUCGUAGGCGGUUUGUUGCGUCGGCUGUGAAAUCCCGAGGCUCAACCUCGGGUCUGCAGUCGAUACGAGCAAACUAGAGUGUUGCAUGGGAGACUGGAAUUCCUGGUGUAGCGGUGAAAUGCGCAGAUAUCAGGAGGAACACCGGUGGCGAAGGCGGGUCUCUGGGCAACAACUGACGCUGAGGAGCGAAAGCGUGGGGAGCGAACAGGAUUAGAUACCCUGGUAGUCCACGCCGUAAACGUUGGGCGCUAGGUGUGGGGCUCAUUCCACGUGUUCCGUGCCGCAGCUAACGCAUUAAGCGCCCCGCCUGGGGAGUACGGCCGCAAGGCUAA